UACGUAGGGUGCAAGCGUUAAUCGGAAUACUGGGCGUAAAGCGUGCGCAGGCGGUGAUGUAAGACAGAUGUGAAAAUCCCCCGGGCUCAACCUGGGAACUGCAUUCGAGACUGCAUUGCUAGAGUAUGGGAGAGGGAAGUGGAAUUUCCGGUGUAGCGGUGAAAUGCGUAGAUAUCGGAAGGAACAUCAGUGGCGAAAAGCGACUUCCUGGACCAAUACUGACGCUCAUGUGCGAAAGCGUGGGGAGCAAACAGG
rnacentral:rRNA from 1 species